AGUGAACGCUGGCGGCAGGCCUAACACAUGCAAGUCGAACGGCAGCACAGGAAUAGGUUGCGCGGACGGGGGGGGACGGGCGGGCGGUGGAGGAAUACAUGGGAAGCUACGGGGGCGAGGGGGAUAACGGAGGGAAAAAUACCCUAAUACAGCAGAGGACGUACGGGGGAAAGCGGGAGACCUCCGGACCUUGGGGGAGUGGAUGAGGCGAUGUCGGAUUGGCUAGUUGGAGGGGUAAAGGCGCACCAAGGCGACGAUCCGUAGCUGGUCUGAGAGGAUGAUCAGCCACACUGGAACUGAGACACGGCCCAGACUCCUACGGGAGGCAGCAGUGGGGAAUAUUGGACAAUGGGGGCAAGCCUGAUCCAGCCAUACCGCGUGGGUGAAGAAGGCCUUCGGGUUGUAAAGCCCUUUUGUUGGGAAAGAAAACCAGUAGGUUAAUACCCCGCUGUUAUGACGGUACCCAAAGAAUAAGCACCGGCUAACUUCGUG
rnacentral:rRNA from 1 species